rnacentral:tRNA from 1 species
GGGUGAUUAGCUCAGCGGUAGAGCGCAUCCUUCACACGGAUGAGGCCACUGGUUCGAGACCAGUAUCGCCCA